rnacentral:rRNA from 1 species
AUUGAACGCUAGCGGGAUGCCUUACACAUGCAAGUCGAACGGAGUGGCGAACGGGUGAGUAAUGUAUAGGAACGUGCCCAGUAGCGGGGGAUAACUACCGGAAAACGUAGCUAAUACCGCAUACUAUUUGAGCGGCCGAUGUCGGAUUAGCUAGUUGGGGGGGUAAAGGCCCACCAAGGCGACGAUCCGUAGCUGGUUUGAGAGGACGACCAGCCACACUGGAACUGAGACACGGCCCAGACUCCUACGGGAGGCAGCAGUGGGGAAUUUUGGACACUGGGGGAAAGCCUGAUCCAGCCAUCCCGCGUGUUCGAUGACGGCCUUCGGGUUGUAAAGCACUUUUGGCAGGAAAGCGGUACCUGCAGAAUAAGCACCGGCUAACUACGUGCCAGCAGCCGCGGUAAUAC